AGCGUUUACACUGUACCGUUUUCGUAGCGUUCUCGUAUUGUUCGAGAGAACUAUAGACUAUUGUCUUGCGUUCCCUUGAGGAUUAAGAACAAUACGAGAACGCUACGAAAACGGUACAGUGUAAACGCUGCCAAAAUAAAUUCCUUGAUUCUCAUCA